rnacentral:rRNA from 1 species
AUUGAACGCUGGCGGCAGGCCUAACACAUGCAAGUCGAGCGGAUGAAGGGAGCUUGCUCCUGGAUUCAGCGGCGGACGGGUGAGUAAUGCCUAGGAAUCUGCCUGGUAGUGGGGGAUAACGUCCGAAACGGGCGCUAAUACCGCAUACGUCCUGAGGGAGAAAGUGGGGGAUCUUCGGACCUCACGCUAUCAGAUGAGCCUAGGUCGGAUUAGCUAGUUGGUGGGGUAAAGGCCUACCAAGGCGACGAUCCGUAACUGGUCUGAGAGGAUGAUCAGUCACACUGGAACUGAGACACGGUCCAGACUCCUACGGGAGGCAGUAGUGGGGAAUAUUGGACAAUGGGCGAAAGCCUGAUCCAGCCAUGCCGCGUGUGUGAAGAAGGUCUUCGGAUUGUAAAGCACUUUAAGUUGGGAGGAAGGGCAGUAAGUUAAUACCUUGCUGUUUUGACGUUACCAACAGAAUAAGCACCGGCUAACUUCGUG